rnacentral:lncRNA from 1 species
CCUGCUUUAACUUCCCUAGCCCCAACUGAUCUACCAUCUCCGUGGACGCUAUCUUAUCCAAACUCCCAGCAUCAAUGAUUAUCUUUGCACUGGCCAAUUCCGACAUAGAUUUUGAAUACAGCCUUCCGUCUUCUCCUCCUUUCUGCUGACGUUGCCACACAAUCUAACGACAGCGAAACUGUCUCCUCUCCUAAGCUUGAGAACCCCCGCUAUGUUUCCGACUUGAAC